AUGAUGUUGAUUUUCACAUACAAUGUCAGUUUGGCCAUGGAAGAAUUUUCUUUGAGAUAUUCUUUUCAUAUUUCUGAUUCCAUGAGAGGAAAAAAUAAAGUUAAUUAUAAAGCUCAUUUAUGUGGUUCCAAGGAAGAAUUUGUCUUGAUAUCCAGUGGUGCUUACCUGACUCUGAAUUUUAAAACUGAUAUGUCUGUGGGAUAAAGAGGUUUUAAACUUAUUUUGGAAGAUAUAAAUCAGAAGCAUUACAAAAAAGUAGUAUGGGGGCCCGACUGCCUAUCAAUGGUAAGUAUUUUUAAAUAUUUAUUAAAGCAGAUACCAUAUAUAUCAAAGUAGAACCUGUGAAACACUGGUUUGUGGGUCCCUGGUAGUCAUCCUGUUUUAAUACUCAAAACAGGAUAACUCCAUUUCAAACCAUUCCUUAAGGCACAAGACCUUGGUAGUUUAGGUAGACCAUUCAUGGUAACAGUUAACUGGUGUGUGUGUGUGUGUGUGUGUGUGUGUGUGUGUGUGUUUACUUAAGAAAUAAUUAUAAACAUAAAAGUCAGACAGUUGCUAUUUAAAAAAAUCCAUGGGGAGAUUGAGGCUGAAACAAAGGUGGAGCUCGCUGUGUUUCCAUGUCUCUGUUACCGUCUUGGUUUCAUUAAAUAACAACACCUAAAUCCCCCAAAACACACCUCCUCCCAAAAAAGAAUAUUUUGUUAGGAUGUAUACUAACUUCUCUGCAUAAACUAGAAACACAUGUAAUGACUUUUCUAUUUAUCCAAUCUACUUUUAAGUCAGAAUUUCAUUAAUUGUGCUUAAGAUUAAAAAGCCAAAUGAAUCUGUUAUUAGGAGAUUCUUUUGAAGUGUAAUUCUAGGAAGAAUUCUAAUAAUCAACAAUCAAUACAAAGUUCUUUUUGGGGGCAUCUAGGUGGCUCAGUCAGUUAAACAUCUGCCUUUGGCUCAGGUCAUGAUCCCAGAGUCCUGGGAUCUAGGCCCACAUCAGGCUCCCUGCUCAGUGGGAGCCUUCUUCUGCCAUUUUCCCCACUCAUUCACUCUCUCACUCAAAUAAAUAAAUAAAAUCUUAAAAAAAAAAAAAAAAGUUCUUUUUGAUGUCACUUUGUCUUUUGUAAGAGAAGGGAAAUAAAUGAGUUCUAGAAAAGUCCUUGAUUUGAGCCAUAGACUAAUGAACUCUAUCAUCUUAUAGGUGUGAUUUUUUAAUUGUGUAAGGAGUGUGCAAACUACAGACCCUUAGGUCUCCAUUGCUCCUUUUUUUUUUUUUUAAGAUUUAUUUAUUUAUUUUUUAGAGGGAGCUGAGUAUUCAGGGCUUGAUUCCAUGAUCCUGAGAUUAUCACCUGAGGUGAAAUCAAGAGUCCAGCGCUUGAAUGACAGAGCCACUUAGGCGCCCCUGUGUCCAUUGCUCUUAUCUUUUCAUCUCUAUAUCUUUACAUAUACUCAUGACCCUUUAUUCACAUGGUAAAAAUAUUUAGGCUGCUUCAUUUCUUCUUUUAAGCAUUUCUUUUUUUUAGAAGUUGAAAACAAUUUAAUUGAAUACUAAUAAAAUAUUGCUGUUAAACAUGUGUACAAACAGUCCAAAGGUCUAAGAGUUACCACAUACACAGAUUAAAAUGCAGUAAGGCAGUAAACCUUAAGGUACAAAACAUGUUGAAUAAAUACUUUUGUGGGUUUUUUUCUUUUUUCUAUGAUCUAGGAUAGUCUUAAUUUUGAAGAUUUGCAUUUUUUGACAUAUAAAUCCAAAAGGAGGAGGGAAUCUAUGUUCUAUACAUAUCUGAAGAGAAAGUAGAAAUGAAAAUUUUAAAAAGAUUUUACUUAUUUAUUCAUGACAGACACAGAGAGAGAUGUGGAAACACAGGCAGAGGGAGAAGCAGGCUCCCUGCAAGGGAGCCCGAUGUGGUACUUGAUCUUGGGACCCUGGGAUCAUGCUCUGAGCCGAAGGCAGACAGACACUCAACCACUGAGCCAUGCAGGCAUCCCAGAAAUGAAUUUUGACACAAGUAUUGAAUAAAUAAAUCCACUGUGUAGAGAAUCUUUGUUUUAAAUAGAUUUCUCGGAUGCCUGGGUGGCUCAGGGCAUGAUCCUGGGAUCCCAGAAUUGAGUCCCACAUCGAGCUCCCUGCAUGGAGCCUGCUUCUCUCUCUGCCUGUGUCUCUGCCUACCCCCUCUCUCAUGAAUAAAUAAAUAAAAUCUUUAAAAAAUAAAUAAAUAGACUUCUGGUGUUAAGAAAAUCUCAAGCACUUAACAAAUGAGCAUAUCUUAUAAUUCCCAAAUUACAGGUUAUGAGGAAGCUUAAUUUUCUUCAUAUUUCAGGAUAUACUUGAAUAAGUCUCUUGUUUUUAAUUCCCUGGUAGUUCUCUUUCAAUC
rnacentral:lncRNA from 1 species